AACAUCAAUGUGGAGGUAGGUGUCUCGCACGGUGGUGGAAGAAUGUUACACGCCUACAAGCCUAGCAACAACCUGAAUGCUCAAGGUAUCAUCCAGACCUCCCAAAAUCCGGCAUUUGAAGCGCUUCACAUCAACCACGCCAUUGCCACGACACUGAUAAAUGGCAGAUUCGACAUUUAUAGCUUUUUUUAAAAAAAAAUCACUGAUAGUAAAUCCCGCAACCACUCCCUGGACUUUCCCGAAACCGCCUCUGGCGCCUGUCCAUCACCCGGUCCCGUGUCCAUCACCAUGAAACUCCCCGGACUCUCCUCUCCCGUCGGCGGCCAAUCAACCAAGGAGAGAAGCCUUUAGGUUGGAUACACUACGUGGGGAGAAAAAGCCUGGACUGAUUCAAAUGGAGAAAUCUCUGUCAUCAAGCAACCUCAGAUUUGAGGAUAACAGAAUCAGAGCUCUAUGGGACAGUGGUGACAAGAUGUUGGUGAAAAAAAAAAUCAGUGAUUAAACAUCCUGAAGUUUCCAAACUGGAAGUAAGAUGAUAACUAGGAAGAAGACCAUCUCAGAGUGAAUACAUGACAAAUAUUGCGACUUUUUUAUAAUACAAUUUGGUUCCCCAAAUACUCAAAAUUAAAAUCAUUGUGGAACCCUAUCACUAAACAUUUUUAAUAAUAUCUUGCAAACAUAUUUUGUAUUUUUAGUACUUUUUAUUUAAAGCAGCCAAUGU